rnacentral:ncRNA from 1 species
GACAACCUGCCGCAAAGAUGGGGACAACAGUCCGAAAGGACUGCUAAUACCGAAUGUUGUCAGUUUCUCGCAUGAGAGACUGAUUAAAGAUGGCCUCUACUUGUAAGCUAUCGCUUUGCGAUGGGUCUGCGUCUGAUUAGCUAGUUGGUGGGGUAACGGCCUACCAAGGCGACGAUCAGUAGCCGGUCUGAGAGGAUGAACGGCCACAUUGGAACUGAGACACGGUCCAGACUCCUACGGGAGGCAGCAGUGGGGAAUCUUCCGCAAUGGGCGAAAGCCUGACGGAGCAACGCCGCGUGAGUGAAGAAGGGUUUCGGCUCGUAAAGCUCUGUUGACGGGGACGAA